rnacentral:rRNA from 1 species
UCCGUAGGUGGCAAGCGUUGUCCGGAUUUACUGGGCGUAAAGGGCGUGCAGGCGGUUUGUUAAGUGCAGGGUGAAAGCUCCCGGCUCAACUGGGAGAGGUCCUUGCAUACUGGCAGACUUGAGGGAGGCAGAGGAAAGUGGAAUUCCCGGUGUAGUGGUGAUAUGCGUAGAUAUCGGGAGGAACACCUGUGGCGAAGGCGGCGACCUGGGUCGACACUGACGCUGAGGCGCGAAAGCGUGGGGAGCAAACAGG